AUGGGCAGAAAGGUGUGCAUCUCCCCUGCAAUCAUCGCGCUUGUAGUGCUUGCUGGCCUGCGCGCGAAUGCUUCCGCCUUCGCCGGCGGUGCCGCUGCCAGCAUGGACGCGGCGCUGGCUGUGCGGCAGCUGACGCCAACGCUGUCGUCGAUGAAGCUGGAGGACGCCGUGUUGCCGGAGCUGGCGGUGGACCUAGAGGUGCACCGCCGCAUCCUCUUGGGCAUCCCCCAGCGAACCGAGAACCGCGAUGGGCCAGCCUGCCUGAAGAAUGGGUGUCCGGCGGACGGAGGAGCGUAUACCGACCGCGGAUGCCUCAAGAAGUACGGCUGCUCGUUAACGCCACCACAGUCCACAGUGAACUGA
rnacentral:rRNA from 1 species